AAGUCGUAACAAGGUUUCCGUAGGUGAACCUGCGGAAGGAUCAUUAAUGAGUUGUAACGGGGUUUUGAUGCUGGCAGGCCAAUUCUUUUGGUAUGCAUGUGCUCGCUCCAACAAUCAUUUUCCACACACCCGUGCACAUUUUUGAGGGAGCUUCGAGUUUGAUUUGCCUCUUUGGGCGAUUUUCUUGCAUCCCCUCAAACUUCAUUAUACGCUGUUAACAAUGCUGAACGUGCUUUGUGCCGCAAGGCCUUAAACAUUAAUACAACUUUUAACAACGGAUCUCUUGGCUCUCGCAUCGAUGAAGAACGCAGCGAAAUGCGAUAAGUAAUGUGAAUUGCAGAAUUCAGUGAAUCAUCGAAUCUUUGAACGCACCUUGCGCUCCCUGGUAUUCCGGGGAGCACGCCUGUUCGAGUGUCGCGAAAUUCUUCAAGCCUUGGAUGGAUUUUUUUUGUCUGUCCUUGGGCUUGGUUGUUGGGCUCUGCCGUGUCCUUCAUUGGGACGGCUGGCCUUAAAAGCAUUAGCCGAUCCUCGUGUGGUACUGGUUCUACUCAGCGUGAUAACAAUCUGAUCGUUGAGGACAUCUUCUGGAUGGCCAGUCAUCAUUUGGGUUGCUUCUAAACCGGUUUCGCAGGUUGCUCAAUCUGUGU
rnacentral:rRNA from 1 species